UACGAAGGGGGCUAGCGUUGUUCGGAAUUACUGGGCGUAAAGCGCGCGCAGGCGGUCUUCCAAGUCAGUGGUGAAAGCCCGGAGCUCAACUCCGGAACUGCCAUUGAAACUGUGAGACUAGAGUACGAGAGAGGUGAGUGGAAUUCCCAGUGUAGAGGUGAAAUUCGUAGAUAUUGGGAAGAACACCGGUGGCGAAGGCGAUUCUCUGGACCGUAACUGACGCUGAGGCAUGAAAGCGUGGGUAGCAAACAGG
rnacentral:rRNA from 1 species